rnacentral:rRNA from 1 species
GACGAACGCUGGCGGCGUGCCUAAUACAUGCAAGUCGAGCGGAUCUCUUCGGAGAUCAGCGGCGGACGGGUGAGUAACACGUGGGCAACCUGCCUGUAAGACUGGGAUAACUCCGGGAAACCGGAGCUAAUACCGGAUACUAUGUCAAACCGCAUGGUUUGACAUUCAAAGACGGUUUCGGCUGUCCCUUACAGAUGGGCCCGCGGCGGAUUAGCUAGUUGGGGAGGUAACGGCUCACCAAGGCGACGAUGCGUAGACGAACUGAGAGGGUGAUCGGCCACACUGGGACUGAGACACGGCCCAGACUCCUACGGGAGGCAGCAGUAGGGAAUCUUCCGCAAUGGACGAAAGUCUGACGGAGCAACGCCGCGUGAGUGAUGAAGGUUUUCGGAUCGUAAAACUCUGUUGUCAGGGAAGAACAAGUGCCGGAGUAACUGCCGGCGCCUUGACGGUACCUGACCAGAAAGCCACGGCUAACUACGUGCCAGCAGCCGCCGUAAAAC